CUUUCCCUCAUCGCUCUGCUCAUCUCUUUAUCUCUGGCCGCUGUCAUGUUAUCUCCCAGCCUAUCUUGCUCUCAUCUCCCGCUCUCUGCCUGUCUUCACCCCUCCCCCAUCCCCAUCCUCCCCCCUCGCUCUGGCUAUCUCCUUGCCAUCUGUAUGGCAGUCUGGCAAACACUCAGAGGCUCCCCAGCCCUGCCGGCACUAUCACCUCCUCCCCACUGCCCCCUGCCCUGGGACUUCUCUGGCUGAACCCUCCUACCCCUGCCCAUGGCGCUCUGCCUCCUCUUUCCCUUCAGCAGCCCUGGCGGGAGCCACUUCCUGGCAGGCGCCCCCAGCCCAGCCGCUCCACCCAGAUGAUCCAGAGCAGCCUGCUCGCCCUUCCCUGCCAGGACCUAAUGGAGAGAGAGCUCCUUCGGCCUGGCUGACACAGGGCCCCUGGAACGAGGAUGGCCGGCCGUCUGGCCUUGGGGUCUCAGCCUGCCAUUAUUCACUGCCCACCCUGAUCACACCCAACAACUGGCCUCUGGAGUUUGCCCCUCUCGCUGUAAUCCCAG
rnacentral:lncRNA from 1 species